GUGUCAGCCGCCGCGGUAACACGUAGGUGGCAAGCGUUGUCCGGAUUUACUGGGCGUAAAGGACGUGUAGGCGGAUAUUUAAGUGAGAUGUGAAAUCCCCGGGCUUAACUUGGGGGCUGCAUUUCAAACUGGAUGUCUAGAGUGCAGGAGAGGAAAGCAGAAUUCCUAGUGUAGCGGUAAAAUGCGUAGAGAUAAGGAGGAAUACCGGUGGCGAAGGCGGUUGUC
rnacentral:rRNA from 1 species